CUCCGGUGGCGCAGGGAACGCAGCUUCUGGGCGCGGGGACGGUGGUCUGUGUGUCUGAGACCCCGCCCGACUCUGGGGAUCCCUCAUCUUCCGAGUCUGAGAAAGGUCACCUCCGGACACACAAGAGGACUUAGCGGGCAGUUUGGGGAACGGACGGGCUCUCCAAAAUAUGGAUGGAGGUCAUCCUCAUGAGUUCGAGGGGGUUGUGGCUGGAUCAUCCAAGUGACCUGGCCCUGAGGUUCCUGAUAUCCAGGCCUGCAAGUCACCAUGGAGGGACCCAAGUGGACAUGGGGGCGGAGUUCAGGGUCCCCUCUCACCCCAGCACAGCAGAGCUCCUUCCUGCCUUUGCCCUAGUUCUUCCCUCUGCCUGGACGGAAACACUCCCCAGUGUCUCUACCUAUGCUUUUAUACAGUUGAUCUGUUCGCUAUCUGUCCCUCCAACCCUGUAAUGGAAGAUUCCCCAGAGUGAGGACCAUCUCCAGCACUUUGAACUGUACAUUGUAGGUACUCAUUAUCUGUCACAUGAAUAAACACCAGUGCUUAUUUAACCCUUCCAA